CUCAGCUGCACCUGGGAGCUCCCCAAAUUUAUGCCAAUCAAACUGAACCAGCUUAGCUUGAAAACUUUCAUUUGAGAAGGUGUCAGCCUCCUUCUGCAGGUGGAGGAAUACUACAAAAGCAAAGGCAGGAAGUGGAGAUCUGGGCACUUUUUGUGGACAGCUUUAAUUACAUGUGAAGAACCAUGUGUCCCUCACAGUUUGUCCCAGAGAUAAGACCUUCCCUGCAGAUGGCACGAUAGAAGAAAUGGGAAUUUCUUCUCUACAAUGGCCUCUGUUCAGCACACAACCUUCCCAGUGCCCAGUAAUUCUCUUGCCUGGAAUACAGACAGCUCCUGCAGAACACCAAAGACUGACUAAUCUAAUAUGGGUUGAAGCUCUCAAAUAAAAACAAAACUAAACAGC